AGUCCGGCCAAUGGAUGCACAGCCGUACUUUGCACACCUCGCAGGAGGCUGUCACUUCUUCACUGAUGGAUCCUCUGCUAGCUGGUAGAAGCUGCAUGUGCAAUGUUUCAAUGCCUGUGCACACUGCAAAAUAACCAAACUAGGUGGACACAGUUGCUAUGGAAUAGGAAUCAAGUCUCAUGUCCUUCUAGGCUGUGUUACCUGAUGCUUCAGAAAGCAAGGCCAGGGGACAGUGGGAGUGGACUGGGCAGGAGCCUCUGGGACUUCCUGCCAGCUUUCAAUCUGCAGCUUUCAGAGUCCAGCAGAGUGAACCAGUGAUUAUACAAUGGUGAAGUUGAGUCUCUUGUGUCUCAGCGUUGCUGGGGAAACCCUGCACAUGAGGCAACAGGCUGAUGGUGUAAAGCAUGAGCCAGGGCACUGUCGGGUGGAGCCAUGUGGAUGUGGGGACCAUGGCUAAAGAAGGUAUAGUUGGUCAAAUGCAGGGAGUUCAUUGACAGGUGAAUGCUGUGGCAAUGCUGGGGAGGAACACACAUGGACCUCUGGAGUGAUUAUGGAAGUAUUCAAGAACGUAACUGGUGCCAAAUGAUCUUCCUAGAGGUGGACAGAUCAUGGCUGAGCCAAGCGGGCAAGGGAUCCAAGAAGAUUUGGGACCACUUUAAGGAUGUGCUUGUACUGAGCUUCACAAAGCAUGGUGUGGCAGGAAGAAUAACACAGAGGCCCAGGGUCUGACUCCCCUUGGUUUUAAUUUCAGCCUUCAGAACAUUCCCAAGCUUUUCUGUACCCUAGAUUCCCCAUGUGUGAAAUGAGAGCCUUUUGCAGAUCUGCCAUUCUGGAGCCCAUGGGCUUUAUGCAGAUAGGAAGUCAUCCUUCCCUAGUUCCUGCUUGUGUGGCACAGCAGAGGCUGGCUCACCAGG